GCCGAAGUGGUGGAAUUGGUAGACACGCUAGGUUCAGGGUCUAGUGGUCGCAAGGCCGUGGGAGUUCGACUCUCCCCUUCGGCACCA
rnacentral:tRNA from 2 species